rnacentral:rRNA from 1 species
AGUGGCGUAAGGGUGAGUAAGGCGACGGCAACCAACCCCAUGGUUGGGCAUAGCCGCGGGAAACUGCGGGUAAUUCCCAGCGAUGUUCGUGUCGGGCAUCCGGUGCGAACCAAAGUUUCGGCGCCGUGGGACGGGCCGUCGUGGUAUUAGGUCGUUGGCGGGGUAAUGGCCCACCAAGCCUAUGAUGCCUACCGGGCGUGCGAGCGUGGCCCGGCACACUGGGACUGAGACACUGCCCAGACUCCUACGGGAGGCUGCAGUCGAGAAUCUUCGGCAAUGGGCGCAAGCCUGACCGAGCGACGCCGCGUGGAGGAUGAAGGCCUUCGGGUUGUAAACUCCUGUCGAGGGGGAGGAAGGCGCAAGCUUGACCUAUCCCUGGAGGAAGCACGGGCUAACUACGUGCCAGCAGCCGCGGUAAUACGUAGGGACCGAGCGUUGUCCGGAAUCAUUGGGCGUAAAGAGCGUGUAGGCGGCCAAUUAAGUCCUGCGUGAAAUCUCGGGGCUCAACCCCGAGCGGUCGUGGGAAACUGGUUGGCUAGAGUGCGGGAGAGGAGAGUGGAAUUCCUGGUGUAGCGGUGAAAUGCGCAGAUAUCAGGAGGAACACCGGUGGCGAAGGCGGGUCUCUGGGCCGAUACUGACGCUGAGGAGCGAAAGCGUGGGGAGCGAACAGGAUUAGAUACCCUGGUAGUCCACGCCGUAAACGGUGGGCGCUAGGUGUGGGGGCCAUUCCACGGUCUCUGUGCCGUAGCUAACGCAUUAAGCGCCCCGCCUGGGGAGUACGGCCGCAAGGCUAA